rnacentral:rRNA from 2 species
UAAUACGUAGGUGACAAGCGUUAUCCGGAUUUACUGGGCGUAAAGCGCACGCAGGCGGCUGAUUAAGUCUGACGUGAAAUCUCCUGGCUUAACUGGGAGGGGUCGUUGGAAACUGGUUGGCUUGAGGUGGUGAGAGGGGUGUGGAAUUCCCGGUGUAGUGGUGGAAUGCGUAGAUAUCGGGAGGAACACCAGUGGCGAAAGCGGCACCCUGGCACUGACCUGACGCUCAUGUGCGAAAGCGUGGGGAGCAAACGGG